GAAGGUUAAACGAAAAGAAAAAGGGACAAAUAUUUGGUAAUCUGUGUGUUUUCAUUAAUUUAUAAAUUUAUUGAACAAGUUUAUUCUUUUCAGUGUAUUAAUGUGUCUUGUUCUAAGCUUUGACAUCUAUGCAAAAGACAAGACAAAAGGCACAUGUGAAGCCUGCAUUUUUUUUAACUCUAUGGAAAAGACAUUGACAGGAGUUGCAACAAAGCGAGUGUUGAGCAGGGAAUGAUGUAAACCAGGCAGGAUGCAAAAGUUCUUUUGGAUGUGACAAAAGAAAUGAUUGCUCAAAGCAUCCCCAGGAGUUUCUUCGCUUAUAACAUAAAUUGACAAGUAUGGUUGUUGUUACAAUUGAUUUGUGCUUGCUUAUCAUACUACUUUUUUAUCAACAUAACUUACAAUAUCUAUUCUGAUAAACCUUGGACCAAAACUCAAUGGAGUAAAAAUAAAAGAACGGAAUGUCAAUUAGUAUAUCGAUUUAAAUCUC